AUUGAACGCUGGCGGCAUGCCUACACAUGCAAGUCGAACGGCAGCACGGGAGCAAUCCUGGUGGCGAGUGGCGAACGGGUGAGUAAAGUAUCGGAACGUGCCCAGUCGUGGGGGAUAACGUAGCGAAAGUUACGCUAAUACCGCAUACGAUCUAUGGAUGAAAGCGGGGGAUCGCAAGACCUCGCGCGAUUGGAGCGGCCGAUAUCAGAUUAGGUAGUUGGUGGGGUAAAGGCCCACCAAGCCGACGAUCUGUAGCUGGUCUGAGAGGACGACCAGCCACACGGGGACUGAGACACGGCCCAGACUCCUACGGGAGGCAGCAGUGGGGAAUUUUGGACAAUGGGCGAAAGCCUGAUCCAGCCAUGCCGCGUGCAGGAUGAAGGCCUUCGGGUUGUAAACUGCUUUUGUACGGAACGAAAAGGACUGCCCUAAUACGGUGGUCCCAUGACGGUACCGUAAGAAUAAGCACCGGCUAACUACGUGCCAGCCGCCGCGGUAAUAC
rnacentral:rRNA from 1 species